AAGCCCCUAUGGGGAUGCCUUCACAUCUUGCCUUUUUGAGCUCCAUCUCCCUCUUUCCAUUCCUUUUCUAGGUGAGAGGAAGCCAAGAAUUCCCAAGUUGUCUGUGACAUACUGCCUUCGUCACUGGACACCCUGCCACUGAUGGGGACCAGCUCCUGCCUUUUGCUCACCACUACAAAUGCCAUUGCCCUGAGAAUUACUGACAUUGUCACUGAGGGGGCUAUAGUUGUGUGAGUAUAAAUAAACACAGUGCUAGAAAAGACACUCAGGGAUAAAUAGCAAAGGUAAUGCAUAGUGUGAGACCAAAAUAACUUCAUACUGUUCACUGAAAGUACCUUCCACUGGCUGUCUUGUGCUGGCUGUUUCCAGCCAAGGUCCUUGCCUUUCCCCAAAAGGCAAAAAGCACUGUGACUUCAGAAGCCAUGGGGCUCCUCUCUGUCCCUCCAAGAUGGUGACACUGAGGAGCUGGGACGCACUUGCAAGUACACUAGUCAUACAACUUCUGAAAGGUUACACAUGGGACUCAUAUUUGGACCAUCAUCAGACAAUAGUUCAGACUCAACAUCAAGCAGAAGGGCUACUGUUUAAAGAGAUGAUCUAAAUUGUCUCUUUCAUUGCUAAUAGGACAUUCGUGGCUCCAUGUACUCAGUCAGCAGGGGAUGGAGUGUCUUGCUUGUCCAGAUACACGGUCUGCUGCUACAGGCCUGGAAAAAUCUGCUUGUGCUUCCAACCAGAAGUCUCCAGAGGAUUCAGGAGCCUCCAACAAAACUUUUCUGAAACAGUGUUGAAAUAAAAAAUGUUCACAUGUCCAGAACACUGAUUAAACCUAAAUUAAACCUGAA